rnacentral:tRNA from 1 species
GUGUCCGUAGCUCAGUUGGUUAGAGCACCACCUUGACAUGGUGGGGGUCGGUGGUUCGAGUCCACUCGGACGCA